CUUUACGUUAAGAACUGACUGAUUUACAGCGUUCGCCACAAUAACAUCUGCUAACCAUGUGUCUUUAUAUACGGUAUGUUAUACCAUAUAUGGCAUCUUGCCUAUGCCGCUCGGUCAUUACUCAUCCAUAUAUUUAUAUGUAUAUAUUCUAUUCCAUCCCUUUACUUGAUUUGUGUGUAUUAGGUAGUUGUUCUGGAACGGUUGUUGUUGAAUUGCUAGAUUACUUGUUAGAUAUUACUACAAUGUGUCCUAAAAUGGUUACAAAUACAAGACUGUGUGUGUGUGUGUGUGUGACAAGAACAUUUGAUUUGAUUUGUUUUGAUACGCUGCAGUAUGGUAUGUUACCACCAGGUGGCUUACAAAAAUACCCCCUUCUUAGGACCCUGACAGUUUUGUGUGAUUUUCAAACCAGGCAUAUUAGCAUGCUAUUUGCAGGCUAUUCCAAUGGUUUCCCUAGUUGAGACCAUGGUUUUGGACCUAACUUGGUCAAAGGUCCUAAUAUGGAAGGUGUUUAUAUAAGUUGAGGUCCUAAUACGAUCUCAAAAACGAGAACACACACACACACACACACACACACACACACACACACACACACACACACACACACACACACACAGCAUAUUCCCACCCCUCCACCUCUUCACUUUAAAACCAUUUAGUAAGUCAGAGGUCUCUGGUCUAUUGAUGGGAAUCAGUGUCUUCCGGGUUGCGUCCCAAAUGACACCAUGUUCCCUAGGUACAGGAGUGCACUUCAUUUGACCAGGGCUCAUUGUCAUUUGGGAAAUGCCCCUGGUGUGAGUGGAAUUGACUGUUUCCUGUUAUACUGGGAUUCGUCGUCACACAGUGAUGAUGCAAUUACACUGGAACUAGUGAUUGACCAACGGGUGUAGUUAUUUUCCAUCAGGCUUGUGUUCACUAUUCAGCCACUUAAGAUAACGUUGUUACCUCAUCUGCCUCACACCUUCCUCACUCCUCCCUUCUGUGUGUGCUCUCGUUCUCGCUCUCUUUCCUACCUGGUUCACUUUCUCACGGUCUCUCGAGGGAGUAGCAGCUCUGAUCUUUAGCUCCACAGUACCUCGUCUCCUCCAGGACUCCAAAAAGACAGUAUGGAGAAGAGCCAGUAUGGACCCCCGCAGGACGUGUCUGCUCCCCCCUACCCCGGCCUCCCAGCGGGCUACCAGGGAAGUGGCGGGGGAACAGCCUACCCCCCUCAGCCUGGCUUCCAGGGAGGUCCCCAACCCGGCAUGUACCCACCACCUCCCCAACCCGGCACGGGCAUGGCACAACCUACAAACGCCCCCAGCG